GGCGGGAUGCCCGAGCGGCCAAAGGGAGCGGUCUGUAAAACCGUCGGCUGACGCCUACGAAGGUUCGAAUCCUUCUCCCGCCA
rnacentral:tRNA from 2 species